AGUCGAAAAAUUAAAUGAGAGAUUAAAAUAACUUUUUUUGUAAAGUUGAAGGGCAAAAUAAAUAAUUAUGCCAAAAAAGAAAAUUUCAACCUCACAUAACGGGUUCAAUAACCAGUUUUAUAUAAAAAUCAAAAAAUAAAUACAGAUACAAUGAAAAUUUAUCAGAAUUCAAUGCCCAGACUUAUGUCUAGAGUAAAUAUAUAUGUACAUCACAAAUCAAUUCAAGAAGAAAAAGGCAGCAAAUUUCAUGUAGAAAGCCUACAAUUGGCCCUGUUUAAAAAUGGUCCUCCAUAACUUGGAAUGCUGCCGGACAACAUCAAAAAUCACCCUAAAAGUUAGUCAGUCAAGCCAGAUUUGGUUACCGAAAACGAUAAAAAUUUUCGACCGAAAUGCCUUUGCAUAUCAUGCACCAGCAUGAUCUUCCUGAGGUUACUCAUCCGUCUUGAUUAUCAUUCAUCGGAUCCUGUUAUGUUCAAAAGAAACUGGCAGAACAUGACAUUCGUAAACGAUGAUGCAGUUCUUGGAGCAAAGCAAAUCCAGUUUCUUGAAGAAACAUGAACUUGAGGUCCCAAUCAUUGAUUUCAGAAGAGAUAUUAUGUACAUCAUAUAAUGGUGUAGUGCGAUA
rnacentral:lncRNA from 1 species